rnacentral:rRNA from 1 species
GAUGAACGCUCGCGGGAGGCCUAACACAUGCAAGCCGAGCGGUAGAGUCUCUUCGGAGACUUGAGAGCGGCGCACGGGUGCGGAACACGUGUGCAACCUGCCUUUAUCUGGGGGAUAGCCUUUCGAAAGGAAGAUUAAUACCCCAUAAUAUACUGGAUGGCAUCAUCUGGUAUUGAAAACUCCGGUGGAUAGAGAUGGGCACGCGCAAGAUUAGAUAGUUGGUGAGGUAACGGCUCACCAAGUCAGCGAUCUUUAGGGGGCCUGAGAGGGUGAUCCCCCACACUGGUACUGGGACACGGACCAGACUCCUACGGGAGGCAGCAGUGAGGAAUAUUGGACAAUGGGUGAGAGCCUGAUCCAGCCAUCCCGCGUGAAGGACGACGGCCCUAUGGGUUGUAAACUUCUUUUGGAUAGGGAUAAACCUAGAUACGUGUAUCUAGCUGAAGGUACUAUACGAAUAAGCACCGGCUAACUCCGUG